UACGUAGGGUGCGAGCGUUGUCCGGAAUUAUUGGGCGUAAAGGGCUCGUAGGCGGUCUGUCACGUCGGGAGUGAAAACUCAGGGCUUAACCCUGAGCCUGCUUCCGAUACGGGCAGACUAGAGGUAUGCAGGGGAGAACGGAAUUCCUGGUGUAGCGGUGAAAUGCGCAGAUAUCAGGAGGAACACCGGUGGCGAAGGCGGUUCUCUGGGCCAUUACUGACACUGAGAAGCGAAAGCAUGGGGAGCGAACAGG
rnacentral:rRNA from 1 species